ACGGAGGGGGCAAGCGUUACUCGGAAUCAUUGGGUGUAAAGGGCAAGUAGGCGGUUUAAUAAGUGAGGGGUGAAAUCUCCCGGCUCAAUCGGGAAACUGCCUUUGAAACUGUUGAACUUGAGUAUGGUAGAGGAAGGGGGAAUUUCCGGUGUAAAGGUGAAAUCUGUGGAUAUCGGGAAGAACAUCAGCGGCGAAGGCAGCCAUCUGGGCCAUAUCUGACGCUGAAUCGCGAAAGCUUGGGGAGCAAACAG
rnacentral:rRNA from 1 species